rnacentral:rRNA from 1 species
GGGCCCGCACAAGCGGUGGAGCAUGUGGUUUAAUUCGAUGCAACGCGAAGAACCUUACCAGGGUUUGACAUCCUGCGAAUCUCUUGGAAACAGGAGAGUGCCUUCGGGAACGCAGUGACAGGUGGUGCAUGGCUGUCGUCAGCUCGUGUCGUGAGAUGUUGGGUUAAGUCCCGCAACGAGCGCAACCCACGUCUUUAGUUGCCAGCAUUUAGUUGGGCACUCUAGAGAGACUGCCGGUGAUAAACCCGGAGGAAGGUGUGGAUGACGUCAAGUCAUCAUGCCCCUUACAUCCUGGGCUACACACGUACUACAAUGGCUGGUACAGAGGGCUGCGAACCCGCGAGGGCAAG